UUAACCACAGGACGUUCCAGCUGUGACUCAUUGCAACUACUGACAAGCACGCUGCAGUGGCCCUGCUUUUGGAGAGCCUAAAGAUCUACUCAGAGCACAUCUGGAUAAAGGCAGAAACAAAAUAACAAGGGAGGAAGUCUAAGUAAUCACAAGAAGCCAAUCUUUUUUCUCUCAAACACAUAUUUUGGGGCUGACAUCAUAGCCACACGGCACAAACUACAGAUGGAAAAGUAUCCGAACUCAGAUCCGGAAAGUUCACCUUUAGGAGAUGAAGACAGGAAAGACUACAGCAGGCAAACUCGCACCUGUUGGGCCGAGGAGCUAGAAAUCAACAACAAAAUACCAACAUUACUGCUCUGGAAAUAACUUCUGUUAGAGCAAUAAAGUAAGAUGAGGGCCAAUGACUGAGCUUCCCUUGAUGCUUUUCCCUGAUGCUAUUUUAUUCUGCAGAAAAUAUCCAGCAUACGAUGACGCCUGAAAAGAAUGAGUCCUAGCAUCUCUGUGUUUCCACACCAGCAGCUCACUCUGACCCCGGCUGCCUUCCAGGUCUAGCCACUGCCUUAGAGGACUAGCCCACCACCUGGUGUCACCAACCCAACCCCAGCUCAGUCUCCUGACACCAGCCCUUCCCUCAAAAAUGCAGCAGGGCCCCCCCUCAGCAACGCAUGAGAGCCAGUCACUCAUGUCUUGAUCUAUGGGAAACUGUGGCAGGCUCCAGAAUUAUAAACAGAAGGUGUGCUGUGUUUUCCUGGAUCUCGUCAUCUGAUUGCUAUUUAGAAUGGCCUGACUGUGUUAGUCAGACCUAUGAGUUCAUCCAACAACAAGCGGGCACAGUGACCAGCCGGGCUCAGCCCAGGGACAGAAAGCGAACACUCCCUAGCCUGUGAUUUCAGCCUUGUGCAGACCAAAUAGAGGCCAAAGUAACGAUUAUCACACAGGGAAGCCGGCUGGAGAAUCUUUUGAGUUUCUGUGAAAACGCUGCCUCCCCUUUGCUUUUAUCACUUGCUUUUUCUUCUGCUCUUCUUUAUAGUUUCCUUUCCCGUACAGUUUGCUUCUAUCUCUUUUCCUGACUCAUUUUUAUUUUACCUGUAUCUUGUCUUUCUGAAAACUUUUACAACUAAAAUCUAAUAUCCUCCCUGUCCAAUUAUUUUAACUGCUCUUGGCUCUUUCUGCACAAAAUAUUGCCUUACAAGCUAGGGUGGCAAUAGAAUUGUUUUACAAAGGUAUGUCUUACUUUGCAUAUCAUUACAAAGAUUUCCACAUUUUCAGGAGGCCCUGCCUGUAUUAUAUGUUAUCUAAGAUACGGCCAGUUUAUCCAUGCAGCAAAUUAAAAUUAUGUUCAUAGAUGAUUAAAGCCAGAAGUCAUCUCAAGGAUUACCAAAUCCAAUUCCUUAAUUUUACAGAUGAGAAAACUGUGGCCCAGAGAGUUCAAGUGACUUGCUCCAAAUCCUGAGCUAAUAUUCAGUGUGCUUUGGGGCCAAACAUACGAGACAGAUAAAACUACAGCAGCAUGAAAAAUUGUGUGCACCCUAUAACUUCUUAAGAAACCAGUUUUGGUCACUGGAUGUUAACCACCUAAAUGAAGUCCAGUGAAUACGUCAAUCACACACGAUAGCCUGUUGUAACUGCCAGGGAUUCCAUUUCACAUGUGCUUGUGCUUGAGCUGGAUAAUGAACUGCUCCUGCAGAGGUUCACACCUGGGGGAAAAGUACUGAUGGAUUCUCUCACACUCAGGAUUCUGGAGAAAUCUAAAACCAUGGUUUCAAACAUAGAACUUGAACUGCUGCAGAGUUUUGCCUGAAAUGAAGAGUAGUGGCCAGCCCCUCUGAAGGAGAAAUAAAUGAGAAAUUGGGUAAAGAUUUUGAGUGGGAGAUGUUUAAACUUUUAUUUAUUUUAGGGAGUGGGGACUUUAAAAGAUAAGCAUCUGGGGUUCUCAGGAUGCAAGAGUGUGUCAGAGGGUGCGUAUCCCAACAUAGGAAAAGCUACCAGUUCUUUCUGGAGGGAGCUCAGUGAAUUGUACCAUGCUGCUGGGGUAAUCCUGAGGCUGAGAAAUGCUUGGAAGCAUAGUCACCAUAUGCCUACUACGGGUCUCUGCUGGAUGUUAUUUGGGUCCUUUAAUACAAUGAUGCAAAAGGAAAGUUCAGAGUAUCUAAAAAAGAACACAACCUAGGGAAACAUGAGUCUAACAAAAUAUGACUCCUUCAUCAAUCCCAUGCACAGGCUCUUACCACAGUACAAUUACCAAAAUGAGAAGAUUUAAUAUUGAUACACUCUUCUUAUCUAGUCACUACUUUUAAUAAGGAAGGUAUUUAAGUCACUAUCCUUUAUUCUAAAUCAAGCUCUCAUUGUGUGCCACACGUUGAGGAUGUUGUAUUCUCAUUGCAUUUUAGCUAUUAGCACUGUUUUGCAAUGAAGUCAAUAAAACCGAGUAUGCAAUGCUA